GGCUCUGUAGCUCAGUUGGUAGAGCAGCGGACUGAAAAUCCGCGUGUCAACGGUUCAAUUCCGCUCGGAGCCA
rnacentral:tRNA from 1 species